CUUUUUAAUGACUUUAAAUUGAAAUUGGGUGCUCUUGUACUUUAAGACCUCACUUCCUUUUUGCUCUCGCGAUAAUUACUACAGCCACGAGAGGUUGUCACCCAACAAGAAACGUGAUUGUGGCUCAUUAUGAGCUGCUUGCAUAAUUGACACAUAUGAUCAUUUUCUGGG